rnacentral:snoRNA from 1 species
GUUCAAAGUGUUGAGUUCUGCCCUGCUGCUCAGUGCAGGUCUGAUAAUUAAGCUUUGAAACAGGAAGCUGCAGUGGAGGCCCAUUGUUGCAAGA